AGAUAGUAUAGGUUAAUUUAAAACCGUUAAGUUUAUUCCUUAAAGAUGUGCUGCUGUAGGUGCUAUUAUUA
rnacentral:tRNA from 1 species